AACAAAGAAACUAAAGAUGAAUGCGAUUGUUAGAGGCCCCAGAACCAACCAGAAGCUGCUCCCACUGGCCAACAGAGGGACAAGUGAGCUUCGACCAGGAUGAUGAGUACAGUGGAUUGAAACAGACCAGGUAUGUUUAAAUACACAAGCUCACACUGAUGCUGGAAAAAAGAAAUGAGCCAUUCUGCAACCUCAAUGGAUUAUUGGAACACAUUUGAUGAUAUGAAAGAAUUAUUAUUAAUAAUUUUAAGCCAAAGAUGGUACUGCAAUUACAUUUUUAAAAACCCUAAUCUUUCAGAUAUUGCCACUGGAGAAAGCUGCAUGAAGGUCCACAGGAACUCUACUCUGUUUGCAACUUUGUACGAGCCUGUUUCAAAAUUUAAAAAGUUAUUUUGCAGACAGCAUAGAAUAAUGAACUGCCUUGGGCUCUUUAGCCUGCAUCAUGUUUCCAUCAUAAACAGCAAAACAAAAGGCUGGAGCUGAGAAGGAUCAGGUGGCAUUCUGAGGACCUGCAGGGUGAGGCGGAUCCCAAGCCUUGCCUGCCUGCCACAAUCACUUGGGGAGUUGGUUAAAUGCGGGCGACUGGGGCCCCACCCACUCACUCAGGACCUUAGGGCUGGGCCGUGACAUCAGCGUACCCGUAAUAAGGUGAACCGGGUGCAGCUGGCCCAUGGACCUACAGUCCCGACCAACCCACUGGGGAGCAAGUUCAGACCGUGGAGCCAGACGGACCUGGGUUUAAAUCCAGCCCUGCCAUUUUCCAGCUGAACGAUCUUCGAUUGCUGGUUCCUCGAGGGCAGUGAAUGCCCAGAUGCUGUCCCUCGACACACACUCCACACUCAGGGCCCGGCUCUGGGCAGACAGGCUCGCGGGAAGCACGAGGAAUCUAUGAAUGAACGCCAGAUCCAGCUUCGGUGCCGUCAGCAUUUGUGAUCAUUAGGCCAGGCACUCACCGCUCCAGGUUAGAGAUAAAUUAGUGGGAUGAUUAAAAUGUUCUAACAGCGACUAUGGUGAUGGAUGCACAACUCUGUGAAUACACUAAAAGCCACUAGUUGCACACUUGAAGGGGGUGAAUCAUACAGUAUGUGAAUUAAUUAUAUCUCAGUAAAGCUGUUUAAAGAAAACAGAGAUAAGACCCAGGGUCAUUUUGACUAUGUGUAAUUUGCACCCUACACAUGCUCCAUUUAGAACCUAACAUCCUCCUCAAAAAUAUUAAUAAAUAUACAUAGACCUCCAUUACCGCAGUAAAAGGAUACCUCAUCUAGACUAGACUCAUUUGCAUUUGUUUAAAAAAUUUAAAUGCGACAUCUUUUCCCGCUGCUAUACAUCUUGCUACUAGGUGACACAUUCUCUUGACCCAGGGUUUCUCACCCCCGGCACCACUGACAUUUUAGGUCAGAUAAUUUGUUCUGUGCACAGUAGGAUGUUUAUAGCAUCCCUGGCCUCUACCCACAACAUGCCAGUUGCACCCCCACCCCCAGCUGUGACAACAAAAAUGUCUCCAGACAUUGCCAAGUGUCCCCUGGGGGGCAAGAUCACUCCCCAUUGUGAUUCACGGCCUUAACAAUUUUUCCACUCCUGCCACCAGUAUCUAGUGACUCUGAGUACCCAUCCACCUGCCCAUCCAGUCAUUCAACUCAUUUACUGAGCCCCUGCUUGUAACGGGUCUUGAACUAGAGACACACACACUUGUCCUGCCCUCAGGCAGCUUAGAAUCUUGAGCACGAGGCGGCAGGACGUGUACAUAAAUAGCUACCAUGAAGGAUUUUAAAAGCCUGAAGUGCUGUCAGAGAGAUACAUAUAAAUGGCAAGAAGUCUGCAGAAGAGAGAGGGGUUAAUUCACAAAGGAAAACUCAUUUUCCUCAUCCAUAUGGCAAGGACAAUCACCUGCUUUUCAGAGACACUGUGAAGAUGAAAUUCACACAUGAAGUCAUUUCAUAUUCACCCCAGCCCCUCUGAAGUGGAUAGGAUCGUUCUCAUUUUUGCAGAGGAAGGGAGUAAGGCACAGAGAAGGAAAGCAACUUGCCCACAGUUGCACAGCCUGUAUGUGGAAGAGAUACACUUCGAUGCAGGCAGUCCAGCUCUCUGCUGUGUGUCCUGCCUGCUGGAGAUAGCGGGGAUAAAAUCAUUAUGUGACAAUAGAUGGGUACCCAGUGACCACUCUACUCAUAGAAGCUGUUGUUAUUUCCACCUGGCAGGUCAGAGCAGGCUUCUUGCAGUAGGUGAAAUCUAAGGAAGCCAAGACGCUAAGAUUUGCCAACACGGAGACAGGAGGGAGCGACAUUCCAAGAGGAGCCGAACAGCACGGGAGACAGUGUCUGGGCAAGUUCAGGGUGUGCGAGGACGUUAAGACAUGGACCCAUCAGCCAAGAGAGGGCCCAGUGGCUAAAACCACUUGGAGGAUGGGCCAGGGCCAGGGCCUGGGCCAGCUGAGUGGAGGAAAAUGAAACUUCACUUAGGAUUCCAACCAGGAAAGUGCUGCAUCACUCAGACACAGCAAAAGCUCCCAGGAAUUGUGAAAUCAAGAGGGAAAACUGCGGGCUUACCCUUCUCUUGAAUACAGCGAGGAACAGGAAACUGGAAAAACUGCUGUCAUCGUCAAAUGCUCCCUCAGAGACACCCCAGUCCUCACCCCGCCAACCCCACGCCAACCCCGCCCUGGAGCCGGCCUGGCUCACCCGUCCCUCCCGAGCUCUGGCUGCUCCCAACCGCAGCCCUGGCUCUGCACUCUGCACUCCCCAUGGCCGUGCACACGGGCCGGCCGAGCGGGCAGCGCGCAAGGGAAGCCCCACGACUUGACUUGGCGGUGUGGGGCUUGGGCUCUGGAGCAGCAGAUGGGCACAAGUAGCACCACCACCUCCUGGCUGUGCAGCCUUGGGGAACUCACCCCACCUCUCUGAGUGUGUCAAAUGGAAGGAAUAACACUCAUCUCUCAGAGGGCAUGACACUCAACAUUGGGAAGAAGGGUAGUCAUUAGGGGGUGAGUUUGCUGCUGCUACUUCUACCAUAGUGUUAUUGCUACUGUUGUUGUUGUCACCGUCACUGUUUGAGUAAACAGCUCAUAAAGCCACAAGCCAAAAUGCUGAAGCCUCCCCUAGAAAACUGACUUUAAUUCUGCCUUGCUCAAGGAUUAACCAAAGUCACGUGGCACAGCCUGCUAAACUCCUCUCUGGCCCACCCCAGGGUGCUUACGGGACAGCACAGUUUGAGGGUUUCUGGCCAGACCCUGGAGCCAGACAGCCUGGGUUUAAAUCCAGGUCUGUCAUCUACUUGCUGGGUGACUUCACCUCUGUCUGCCUCUGGUUUCCCCAUCCGUAACAUGGGCAUAACCACAGUCCCAACUUCCCAGGGUGGUUGUCGAGAUGAAGUCACUAGCUAGUAAAAAGUAUACUGCUAUAUACGUAACAGUAAAACAACUAGCUCAUUUAACUUUACAACUCUGUAAGAUAGGCACUACUAUUAUCCCCACUUUGCACAUGAGGGAACAGAGGCGUGAAGAGAUAAAGUCACUUGUCCAAGGUCACAGAGCUAGCGGCAGAAGCAGGGUCCGAAUGGUGGCUACAGUGGCUCUCUGAACGUGUCCACGACCUGGGCCUCCACGGGACAGGGACGGCGAACAUCUCACUCACCGUGGAUUGUGCCCCAGCACCAAGCAUCAGAUGUAUGACAACAAAAGGAUUAACAGACAGAAGAGGAGGAAGCAAUGAAGAGAGGAAGGAAGAAACUGGAAGCUGUCAUCAUACUGCACUGAUGCUAAGACUUGUAUUUCUCCACACUUUAAUAUCUUUGCUGUCAGUCUGUGUCUCUCAAUCAUUCCAUCCCAUAAAUACUGCUGACCAUGUUGUUACAACGUCUCUGAAAUUGGGACGCAUGUCACCACCGCUGGCCUCUCGGGUCCCAUGAACUGUGGCACGUGUGUAUCGACAGGAUGGUCUCCUCUCUAACCUAGCUGCACCACUGAGGGAUGGCAAGAGGCUUUUUUCCCUAAGUUUCCACAAUCAAGAAAGAAAAAUGAAAAAGUCCCUCUUAGCCACACCCCCCACCCCUCACUCCUGCUCUAUAAAAGCUCAGUUGACUUUAACAGGCAGGGGCAAGGGAUGGGAGGUACUGAGCGUGACUGUCAAGCGACCUGACCAGGCCGGCUCCGGCAAACCCGCCGCAGCCUCAUCUCGGACAACCUCCACCUGCCAGCUGCCUUUUCACCUCCACCAAGGCACAUGCCCAGGCCAGGAUGUUUUUGCCAAACCCAGGCAGGGAAGAACCAAUAAAAAUCUCCCACUCACCAAAGCACAGCCCUUUCCAAAGCACAUGGUCACCAAGAGGCCACAGUUUCUGCCAAGCCCCAUGAGAGCAAAUGCUCUCUGCAAGCAGUAUUCUUUCCAAAUCACUGGCUCAUAGGAUCUGCCUGGCAAAGGAGCCAUCAUUUCAACCACUUCAGUCAGUUUCAGGGUCAAUGAGCUGCCCCCUCACUGCCCUCUGUAAGGUGCACAUCUUGCAUUCACGCAGACAUUUUAAACUACAUCACGGGAUUGCUGCUAUCAUCUGUGGGAACAGACCUUGCAAACGGACAAGCCGGCUGCAGGUGUAACGCGCCACUGAUACACAGCCCCCCAGGAGAAAACACAGUGGGGACUGGCGAAUUGCAGCAUCACCCAGACGCAGCUUGUCUACACUCCUGGCAGCACUUGGACUGAGCCCUGGCCAAGGUUUCUCAACUGCAGCACUGUCAACAUUUGCGGCCAACUUUUUGCUGUGGGGCCGUCCUGUGCACUGUGGGACACUUAGCACCUCCCCGGCCCCUCUAUCCACCAGAUGCCAGGAACAUCCCCCUCCUCUGGUUGUGACGACGAAGAAAAUGUUCCUAGAUGUUUCCAGAUGUACCCUGGGGGCAAAAUCACCCAGAGCUGAGAACCACUGACCUAGGCGAUUUGCAAAAUAUCAUUUUUUUAGUAGUGAUGUACUUACUUUAAUAGCUAUUAGGUAAAGACAUAAAGAUGACAAGCCUGCGACUUCAUAGAUAUUCUAAAGUGAUAUGAAACUUCCUUUGGGAUAAAUUUAUUAAGGUUAAAAAAAGUGAAUUGAUUCAAAGAAAAAUAUUAAGUUAAUAGUACACACUGGACACUACUGGCUGGCUUACUCAAUACCUUUCCUGACUCCCAUCUCCCUUGCUGUCUCCCAACAGAGAGGCAUCAAACCAAAUGCUCACUUGUCCUGCCUCCCUUGCAGCUAGAGAUGGCCCUGGGAUCCAGCGCCAGUGGAGGAGAUUCGAGCAGAAGUCUGCAGUGCAGGGAGAGGAGCCUCUGGAAAGACUUUUACUUUCCUGAGUAGAGAAGGGACAGGUGAGGCUGAUGCAGUCCUCCCCUCUUCCUCUCUUGAACCUAGAGGUGUGUGUUAGAGCUGCAACAGCAAUUUAAGGGCCUUGAGAAACAGACAAUGGAAUCAGCAGAGGUGUCAGCCCUAAUGCCACUGGGUUGCUAAUCCAAUGCCAGCAACUACCAGAGGUACUGAAACUCCUCAGAUGUAAAAAAGUACCUGUAUGGGCUGCUGGAGGCAGGGUGUUUAUUGAAGCCCAGUGCAAUCCUAACAAAUAUGAGGUGAGAGACAGACGUCAGAAUCACGAAGACUAUACACAAAUGACUGAGGAAAAACACAGUGGGGACGAAGGCAGGCUCUGAAGUCAAACUGCUGAGUUUAAAUACACCCCUUGCUGCGUAAACCUGGGCACAUUUAACUGCACCUCAGUUUCCCCAUCUAAAAUAAAGAGUUCUGAGAGCACCUACACAGCAUUACGGUAGGCCUGAAACAAGGUGUGCACAGUGGGGCUUGGCACACCUCUUGACAGAGUAGACCACAAUGCAUGCCAUUUUACUUACAAAAAUAAACUACUCUCACCGAAGUCACACAAGCAAGACAGGGACAAGGCAAAAACUAGAAUCGAUUUAAUUAUUGGUUUUUCCACCACUUGAAAAGGAUGUGGCUUUUAAAGAUUGCUUUAAACACUGUUUUAGAGCUAAUGGCAAAGCAAGGAGAGGGGGAAAGACAGGAACCAAAGAUUCCUGGAGGACCCAAGCCUGGCUGGUCCAGUUCUCAGU